rnacentral:tRNA from 1 species
GGGGAUGUAGCUAAUUGGUAGAGCAAACGCAGCGCUUGUGUCAGGUACGGGGUUCAAUUCCUCGCAUCUCCA